GACGAACGCUGGCGGCGUGCUUAACACAUGCAAGUCGAACGAAGAGCGAUGGAAGCUUGCUUCCAUCAAUCUUAGUGGCGAACGGGUGAGUAACGCGUAAUCAACCUGCCCUUCAGAGGGGGACAACAGUUGGAAACGACUGCUAAUACCGCAUACGAUCUAACCUUGGCAUCGAGGAUGGAUGAAAGGUGGCCUCUAUUUAUAAGCUAUCACUGAAGGAGGGGAUUGCGUCUGAUUAGCUAGUUGGAGGGGUAACGGCCCACCAAGGCGAUGAUCAGUAGCCGGUCUGAGAGGAUGAACGGCCACAUUGGGACUGAGACACGGCCCAGACUCCUACGGGAGGCAGCAGUGGGGAAUCUUCCGCAAUGGACGAAAGUCUGACGGAGCAACGCCGCGUGAGUGAUGACGGCCUUCGGGUUGUAAAGCUCUGUUAAUCGGGACGAAAGGCCUUCUUGCGAAUAGUAGAAAGGAUGACGGUACCCGGAA
rnacentral:rRNA from 1 species